AGUAUUUUAGUAGUCAUUUGAAAGUUUGAUUGCUGAUAAAAAUUCUUCUUUUACUUAGGCGCUGGAAAAGAAAAACGGUGAACAUUUUCACCGUCGCAAGAUUUUUCUUGAUGUUCCUGAGAAGGCUCAAGGCCGAUCCAAGUAUGUUGAUUUUCCAUGUUUAUGCAAACCUGAUUCCAACUUGUUGCUUGAGUUUUUGAUACAGAAGACUAACGCUAUUAUUAUUGUUUAUUAGGUAUUGCAUUGAUCACAAGGUUUGGUAAGGAAUUUAACUAAAUUUGUUAUGAGCACUUUGGUUAUAGUUGUUUCUAUACAUUGAUAGAUGAUACUUUCUUUUUUUUUUUAUUCUAGGUACGAAGACUACCUUCGACAAGAAAGCCUUUUGAUAGGAGCUGACGAAACUCCUGAUUUUGCUGAGGUACCUGUUCUUGUUAUCUUUCAAAUUAUGUCCUGCUCGUAGGCAUUUAAUAACACAACUGUUGUCACAAAGUCUAAAGAUACUUAUUCUCCUCGGGGUCGUCCUAAAACACUUGGUUGCUAAAUUACAGGAAAAUGCCGUUCGAAGAAAGACACUCUUUGUUGCCAAUCUUUCUCACGACAAUAACGAAUUGCUGAUUUCAAAUAUGUAAGUAGCACCUUUAAUUACCUAUUUCGUUCUUGUAGCAAGUUUUUGAUGACUGAUAUUACAACUUUCAUUUUUACAGUUCCAAAAUCUUCAAAGAUGUUGUAGAAGUUGUUCGUCUUCGACUUAUUGUAGACCACUGUGGUGAGCAUGUGAGCUGUGGGUUUGUUGAGUUUGCUUCUGCUAAUGAAGCACAGAAGGCGCUACGACACCGGAAAAGAAGAUGUAAGCUUAUUUUCUACGAGGCUGAAAUAGCUGCUACGUACCCUUUCCGACACAAGUACAACCUUGCAGAAAAGCUUUAGUAUGA